rnacentral:lncRNA from 1 species
CCAAAUUAUUGGAUGCAAGAUAUAAGCCUUGGAGUUUCUGCAGUCGGCCGAAUGUAAUUGAAAUUGGUCCAGUCAAUUUAUUGCGUUCUAAUACUAAGGUCAACAAGUUGCUUAAAUUGCUAAUUGCUUGAGGAAUGUUGCCACUAAUACUGCAAUUGGCGAUGACAAGUGUUUCCAAAGACUUAGAAAGAUUACCUAUUGAACUUGGAAGGAUACCGUCGAGUGGAUUGCCUCCUAAGUUUAAGAAUCUUAAUUUCUUGCAAUUUGCCAAAGAGGAAAGAAAGCUCAAUUUUGAGGUUGAAGAUGUCAAGGAGUUUUUAGACAAGUUGAGCCACUCAAGGUUUCUUAAAUUACCAAUUGUGUCUGGAAUAAGGCCCGAAAAUGUGUUUCCUCCCAACUCUAGAACGGUGAGCUUAGAAGCAUUGGUGAUGGAACUAGGAAUGGUUCCAAAAAAUCUAUUAAGUGCCAAGAUAAGAACCUCAACAGUUGGAAGUGAAAGGUCUAUUCUUGAUGGUAGACUUCCACUGAGAGAGUUAUUUAUGAGGAUAAGUACCUUCAGUGUUGACAUGUUGAAGAUUGUAGCUGGUAACACACCAACUAGGUUGUUCAUUCCAAGCACUAAAGCCUCUAGAUUUCGAAGAUUAGCGAUUUCGUGGGGUAUCUCACCUGGCAAAUUAACACAGAUCCAAAAAAUCUCACUUACUAGAUCUUAUCUAAAGUAUUCAAGAAAAAUAAUAAGUGAGAAAUUAAAACAUUUAUAUAGUAUUUUGACAAUACCUUGGAGUUUGUUGUAUAAUAGAGAUAUGCCUUUGAGCAUAGUCAAGUUGCCGAUUUCUUUUGGUAUUGCACCGGAUAACCCAUAAAUGACUCGGCUGUGAAGUUGGCAAAAAUUCCUCCACUAGGAAUCUCACCUUCUAGUUCAUUGAAAGAGAGAUUUAACUCUCGGAGGUAAAAGAGUUUCUCCAUGGAUUUUGGAAUAGACCCAGAGAUUUUAUUUUUUGACAAAUUCAAAACCUCCAAACUUGUCAAGUCACCAAAUGAUUCAGGAAUUGGGCCUUCCAAUCUAUUAUAUGCUAGGUCCAUAAAUUGAAGAUCUUUUAGUCCUCCAAUUGUGGCUGGCAUAUCACCCGAUAAGUUAUUUUCUGAUAAAUUUAUUCCUAGAAGCACCUUCAAAUUACCUAUGUCGAAAGAAAGAGUACCAACCAAGAAAUUUGAUGAAAAGUCAAAGAACAAGAUGUCUUUUAGGCUCCAGAAAGUUGAGGGAAUAACAAAAGUAAACCUAUUGGACCCUAAAUAGAGAUAUCUUAGAGAAGUGAGAUUACUUACACAUGAAGGUAUAGAUCCUGAAUGCCUAUUGUCCAGUAAGGCCAAUUCAGCCAGCCUACCUAUAUGGCAAAGCUCAUCUGGGAAUGAACCUACCAAAUUAUUGGAUGCAAGAUAUAAGCCUUGGAGUUUCUGCAGUCGGCCGAAUGUAAUUGAAAUUGGUCCAGUCAAUUUAUUGCGUUCUAAUACUAAGGUCAACAAGUUGCUUAAAUUGCUAAUUGCUUGAGGAAUGUUGCCACUAAUACUGCAAUUGGCGAUGACAAGUGUUUCUAAAGACUUAGAAAGAUUUCCUAUUGAACUUGGAAGAAAGCCGUCAAGUGGAUUGCCUGCUAACUUUAAGGAUCUUAAUUUCUUGCAAUUUGCCAAAGAGGAAAGAAAGCUCAAUUUUGAGGUUGAAGAUGUCAAGGAGUUUUUAGACAAGUUGAGCCACUCAAGGUUUCUUAAAUUACCAAUUGUGUCUGGAAUAAGGCCCGAAAAUGUGUUUCCUCCCAACUCUAGAACGGUGAGCUUAGAAGCAUUGGUGAUGGAACUAGGAAUGGUUCCAAAAAAUCUAUUAAGUGCCAAGAUAAGAACCUCAACAGUUGGAAGUGAAAGGUCUAUUCUUGAUGGUAGACUUCCGCUGAGAGAGUUAUUUAUGAGGAUAAGUACCUUCAGUGUUGACAUGUUGAAGAUUGUAGCUGGUAACACACCAACUAGGUUGUUCAUUCCAAGCACUAAAGCCUCUAGAUUUCAAAGAUUAGCGAUUUCGUGGGGUAUCUCACCUGGCAAAUUAACACAGAUCCAAAAAAUCUCACUUACUAGAUCUUAUCUAAAGUAUUCAAGAAAAAUAAUAAGUGAGAAAUUAAAACAUUUAUAUAGUAUUUUGACAAUACCUUGGAGUUUGUUGUAUAAUAGAGAUAUGCCUUUGAGCAUAGUCAAGUUGCCGAUUUCUUUUGGUAUUGCACCGGAUAAAUUAUUGAGCUGCAAAUUUAAUUGUUGCAGUUGUUUGCACUUUGAUAAAGCAGAAGGAAUUUUGCCAUGAAACAUGUUUUUGUCCAAAAAAAGGGCUUUCAAAUGAGGAAGAUAGUUGCAAAUAUUUUUCGGAAGCUCACCAGAAAGUCUGUUAUUGGUCAAACAAAUGUCUACUAUUGAAGACAUGUUGAAGACGAAGGAAGACACUGAACCGGAGAGCUGGUUAUCAGUGAAGUCAAGAAAUUUUAGCGUAUGCAUGGUGUAGAUGGAGGAGGGAACGCUUCCAGAAAGCUUGUUAUGACUAAGAUUUAGUAUUGUGAGUGAAGAGAGGUUUCCAAGUUGAGAAGGGAUGGUGCCUUGUAGAUUGAAUUGAGAAGUAUCUAAGGCUGUGACUCUAUGGCUAUUGACAUCACAAGUGAUGCCAAUCUAGGUACAAACAGAGGCAUUCGAGGUCCAAUUAUGGGCUAAAAGGUUGGUCGGAUCAGAAAUUAUAUGAUCUUUCAGGGCAAGAAGAGCUUGUUGGUCUGUGGUAAUAUUGCUGCUUGCUGCUGCUGCUGCUGCAACAACCAAGCAAAGAAGCAGGCAGUGGGUUAAUGACACAAUGAUCAUACUGAGACUAAGGUUUCUCUCCAUGAAAGAUUGCUAUGUUUGUUACUGGUUAAUUUGGUAAUGCAAGGUGUUUUGCUUGCUGAAGAUAUAUAUAAUGCAAAUGUCAAUCUCGUGGUGUUUGUGAUUGUAACUAAGCAAGACUGGAAGAGAUGAACCGGCUGGUAGUAUUCACAUCACUCAGUGCCGGUCAAUUUAGGUACUUGUUUUUACAUCAUGGCGUCAUCUAUUCAAGUCAAGAAGAAUUGGAUGCAUUAGUUUUAGUUUUGCUAUCAAUGCUCAAUUGUAAUUAUCUUCUUUCUUUGGAGAGUUUUCUGUAGCCACAAACUUGCAUUUUAAAUAAUUGAUUACACAGGUAAGUGAAUAGUAUAGUAUAGAAAUUAACGUAUUUAUCUGUGCGUGGGAUUAUGAUUUUCUCUUGAUAUGAUUUUUCUGACUAAAUAUAUUAACAUGAUUGAUAGUUAGUAAAUAAAUAUAUAAUAAAUAAGUAAAUAUUGAUUGUACACAAAUAAAAGUACAUUUGUUUCAAAAAAAUCUUUCAAAGCUCAAAUAUAUAAGAUUAUAAGAGGAUCCUUUCCGAUGAGAAUUAAAUUUAUAUAUAUUUCCUCUUGUAUCUUCAAUUUCAAAUUUUAAGGACCUAUUGAUAUAAAUUUGAGUAGUCAAAUAUUGAUAUUUUCGUAUUUAAUAUUAUAUUAAGUAUUAAUUAUUAUUUUUUCUUUUAAAGGGAGAGUAUAUGCACCCAUAAAAAAUGCCAUCGCAAAAGUUUUUAAUUAAUUUUUUAGUAAAUUGGAAAAAAAUUAAUUUUUAUUUGCUAAAAAAAUUUUAUAUUGCCAAAAAAUAACCGCAAUAAUUCUUAUGGACCGAUUUAUCUUUGACACCCACUUCUGCAAGCACCCUUUCUCUUUCUCCAAAUAUUUGAUAAUUAAGGUUAUUUUCAACAACCAAAAAGUUAAAUGAAACAAAAAAAUUGAAGUAGUUUUUAAAUGGAGAUCAUCAGCCAUUGCCUUAUUAAAAUGAUAUCAUUAUGUAGAGUGGAUUGUAUGAGGAUAAUAUACAAGUCAUUUUACUUUCCAUAAAAGCCAAUAGUAGAAAGUCAAAAUUGAAUUUCAGCAAGGGAACAUUGUUACUGUUAUCGUUUAUUGUUUUUUUUUCAUCAUUUCAGCAACUAACAAGUAAAUUUCAAGUGAUGUAUCACUCAUCAGCAUUGCUGGAAUGAUUGUAAUCGUCAGUUUAACUCAUCCCUCUUAAUUUUUAUAUAUUUUGUUUUCUGCAAAACUACCGUAAAUCAAAGAUGUCACAAUUUUUUUUUUUUAAAAAAGCAUCUGAAAUCAUCAAAACCUAACUAUAAUGAUCAUGGUCAUACCUGUAUAUUUUACAAUAAAAACUGCAAGUAACUUGUUCUUCCUCCACACCUGUGCCAUAUAACAAUAAAGAGGGUCAAUUUUACUGGCAAUGAGAUUCCUCUGCUUCAUUCUAUUCUCUGUUUGCUAUUAAAUCUCCGCAAUGAGUAAAUGAAGAGUUUAUUGUAACUGAGUUCUCUCAAUCACAGUAAUUUGUAACUGUUAUUCAUCAUAGGAGAUCAUCUUAUAAGUUAUAACAUUAGAUUCCUUGAGAAUUAGCAUUACAUUAAACAUAGUGAGCCAUCAAAUCUAGUCUUUGUUAAAUUGGCCCUUCUUUCACUAACGUAACCAAAAGACUAGAGUCAUCACUGGAUGGUCUAGACGACAGUAAGAUUGUGUGCGCUGCGUAAUCUUUUUAACACCAUCACUUAUGGCAGGUAUCUUGACUCUCUGUAUAAGUAACAUAGUUGAAAACCAAAGAAAAAACAAAAGGUUUCCUCUUUCUUUCACUUGAAGUAAAAGCAAAAGCAAAAGCAAAUCCGGGGCUUAGCUUACUAAUUAUAGUACUAUAAAAGAGCUUACCAUAAAAUUCAGCUUAAUACUAAAUUCAAAUCCUGAACACUGACCUCUUUCCUAUGCUCGCAUUGUAUUGGUUUUGAAUUCAGUUGCAACUCAUUUGCCAAAACUUUUUCGCUUGCCUAUUUUGCUCAGUAAAAUAAAAGAAUUUUUAUACAUACAUUAACUUUUGUUACUCAUGAAUUUAAAAUGCGCAUAUCACCCAAACUUUAGGAAGAAAAAAAAGAUCAAAAAUAGUUUAUUAAAGUUUGGUCUUUUAGCAAUAUUUCAAAACACCCUCAUUCGAAAAUCAAUAAUUAUGUAUACAUAAUGUACCUGCAUUUUAAAAUACCAAUUUGAAAUUAUAAAAUAAAAUUGUACAUUGUGAGUGCAUCAACGACCACCAACUUCACCAAUCCGUUAAACAACCCAAUAAAAAGUGAAAAUUAAAGUAGUAAUUUAUAAACAAAUUAAAAUAAUAAUAAUAAUCAAUAGCCUUGUUCAGUUUGUAGAAAUGUAUACCGGUUAAAUGGUGCGAAGCCAGUGAUCAUCAUUUUGAGUCAAACUGCAGCCCAGAGUUCAAAUUUUUCUGUUUGAAAUUAGUAGUACUGGAUUAGUGUAUUUAUGGGUUUCCAAGCAGAAAAUAAAAGAAAAUAAUAUGUGCAUGUUUAAUUUACUUCAUAAACAUUUUGUUUAUAUUUAUUUGUGGUUAUUUAUAAUUGCCUACUGGUAUGCCUUUUUUUAUCUUUUUUAAUUUCUUAAAAGAAUUUCUUCCUUAUACUCAGCUUGCAAAGGAAGUACGAAAUUACUAAUCCUACGGUAUCCAAACUUAAAACUGUAAGGAAUAAGGCGAAAUCUCAAUCAAGUAGAACAAAAAUUAAAGAAAAAAAAAUUCCCAAUUGAAUAAUUUUUUUCCUUAAACUAUUGUAAUCUAUUCAACAUGCCUUUUUGUUUUUCUUAAACUACAGAAUUUUUUUCUUAUACAUAAAAAGUUUGCAUGCAACAAAUUAUUCACCAUGCAUGGAGAGGCGAUAGCAAUUAACAAAUUACUCUACAGACUAGUUCGCUUUUUACUAUCUAUGCAGUGUUUUAAACCUAACAAUAAUAUCACUAGGAUUGUUUUCUUAUUCUCUAAUCCGUUUUCGCAUAGGGAAAUUAAAAAAACAAAAAAAUCAGUAUACCUAUGGUUUCCUAAUUCUAAUCGGAAAAGGAUUUCUCAUAAUAUAAUUGGGAUAAAUGUUCGCUUACCCUCUACCGUUAAAGUUAAUUACCUACUAAAUAAUUUUAAUUACUCCAUUUAUUUUUCAAAUUGCUUAAAACACCCUAAUUAUUUUGAAAAAGAUAUUUGGUUGAAAUUGCUUGAGGAAUGUUGCCACUAAUACUGCAAUUGGUGAUGAGAAGUGUUUCCAAGGACAUAGAAAGAUUACCUAUUGAACUUGGAAGGAAGCCGUCAAGUGGAUUGCCUAUUAAGUUUAAGGAUCUUAAUUUCAUGCAAUUUGCCAAAGAGGAAAGAAAGCUCAAUUUUGAGGUUGAAGAUGUCAAGUUGUUAUAAGCCAAGCCGAGCCACUCAAGGUUUCUUAAAUUACCAAUUGUGUCCGGAAUAUGGCCCGAAAAUGUGUUUCCUCCCAACUUUAGAAGGGUGAGCUUAGAAGCAUUGGUGAUGGAACUAGGAAUGGUUCCAGAAAAUCUAUUAAGUUCCAAGUUAAGAUGCUCAACAGUUGGAAGUGAAAG